AUGGGCGACACCGGGGCUGCUAACGUCGUUAGGAACGAGGAAUGAGAGGACGGGGAAACGAGUCGUUCUUGCGGCAAAUGACAUCGGUCGUGUUUAGAACAUUUUCUGGUGUAGAUGCGUCCAAGCUACCAGGAUAAAACACCACCACCCAUCUGGAUAUCCCUCUUCUGCGUUGACAUCCAACAUGUGUAGUGUGCCGUGCCCCAGCGGACUAGCCCAUGUACUAUGCUGCGGCUGCCCUCCGGCCCAGGCCUCCUGAGCUGCGGCAGCAUCAUCCCUCACUCCUCUGCCCGCGACACGCCCACCGCCCUGGUGUCCUCGCUCUUGCCCUCGCCGGCAUGUACGCUACCCGCCUGUACAGCUCAGGAGGUGGGGGAGGAGGAGGGGGAAAGCCCGGGCGCCGGCCGGGCCUGGGGGGUGG